GAAGGGUAUCUGAUUGCUAAAGUGGAUGGCAGAGAGAAUUAAGCUGAGACAGUGAGGAAGGAAAAUUUGUUUCUCUUAAAUUACAGACCUUGACAGCUUCCCUAAACCCCAGUGCCAAAUGACAUUCCAGUUGCUAUGGUAACAGUGUCAAUAAGCAACAUUCUCUACCAGGAGGCUGAAGCAGAUACAGUGGCUAUACAUCUUGGAAGAUGCUCAUUCCUGUCUCCCUACAACUAUGGCUCGGGAAGGUCCUGAGUCUCAUCUACUGAAAGGCCAUGAGGUCAGCCCACCGAAGGCAUACACCUGUCUUCUUCCUAGCAUCAUGUGUAAUAGCUGAUCUCUGAAUAUGAUUAGACCUUGGAGAUCAUUUGGUCCAAUUGCCUCAUUUGAAAGCAGAGGACACUGAGGCACAGAGCAGGCACGGCCAUGCAGUGAGAUGACGGCACCUCGGGAGCCUGAUCCCAGAGCUUCUAUGCCCAGCACAGGCUCUUCUCCUUGUACUGCCCCAGCAGGGCCCUUCAGAGUCGAGGCUGGCCUCUGUGCCACCUCAUCUGUGCCAGCUCGGCUGUGUGAAUACAAUGAACAGAGGGUGUGACACGCAGCAAAUAAAGCUCCUUAUUGAUUGGGAGGCCACUGGAAAGAGUUGUUUCCAUGGACUUGGCAUCAGCAAUGUGCUCCUCUCUGCAGAGAGAGGGAGAGAGAGAGGUGAUCCUUGCCCAGAGAAAUUUCCUCUGAGAAGAAUGUGUUUUGAAAUUGGCUAUGCUAUAGGGCUAUAGAUGUAUAUUCAACUACUUAGAAGGAGCCUAUAAUUAUGCUAUCCUCUCUGAGUGUGUUGUUAUGAUAGCAGGAGAACUUAAGGCAGGCACUCAUGAUGAAUGGGUAUGUUGAUAAAAUACCAGCCCAAACUUGGUGUGAAAAUCUUUCUAUUGAAGAUGCCAGAUUUCAAAAAGAGACACAGCUGCACCAGAGACAGUUACAAACAAGUGGAUUCCAUACUUGAAGUAAUAAAAGAGAGACUUUCACUUUCUCACUCCCUCCCUUAACACCUUGUAUAUUGCUCGAAUUUAACAAUUCCUACUGUGUUUAAUAAAUACCGGUUACUUCUAUGUCCCCAGCUUGACAGUGAGCUCAUGAAAAAUAGGAGCAAGCAGCAAAAAUAAAUAGGUCAGACUUUUAAGUCAAACUUUUGCUUUCCUUUGCACCAAAGUGAAUCAACCAUUAGAGAUAUUAUAGUAAAAUCAUCAUUGACUUGAUUCUGCUCUAUUUAAUUCACUGGCUGAAUUCAAAAGACAGUGAAACAAACUGUUAACUGGCUAAACUCACUGUUUCAACAAUCCAUCUGAUAGAAGAAAGAUAAACUAACCUGAAGAAAGUGGCUACUUUGAUUAAUAGGAAAGUAGCAACAAUAGAGACCUAUGGAGGUGAUUUGAUACCUGAGUGAGGAAAUCUUGGGCUGUCAGCGACACAGUGCAGCUACUCAUUCUUUAUUGCUUUCUUGAUCCUGCAGUGUCAGAAUUCAUUUGCUGAAUAAAGAAAAGGAGUUUUACACUCUCAAAGAAGUAAUAAUGCUGCAAUAUGCCUCACUGGAAGCCUUACUCUAACAAAACAAAGGAAAUACAGGUGUCAAACAUCAUCAAGACUAAUUUAUUGACCAAUCAAUUGCCUUGGAUCUGGCAGGAGUGGUUUUCUCUGAGGGUCUGAGACCAACAGCAACCAGGAGCAGCUCAAACUGGAUUUCUUCUCAGCCCUGUACAUAAAGGUUAGACAAAUUUUCAAGGCAGGAGACUCCUGAGCCUUGACUCAUUGACAAAUGAAACCGCCUGGGUAUGAGAUCAUACUUCUGCUUCAAGGCUUGCAAGACCAUCUUUGGGCUAGUAUUGCUGUGAUGGAAAGAGCAAAUAGAGUGUUGCCCAAAGGGAGUAGGCAGUUUUGACAUUGAAAAUUAUUUUGUAAUUUUAUAUACUGGACACCAUUCUCUUCAAAUCCACAUGGCUGCAAUGCUAAGAAAGAUCACUCAUCGAGUAGAGCCUUGAGUAUUUUGAAUAGAUUAGGAAAAGCAGAAUUGAAAAGCCCAGUUUCCCUACAAGUUGGGGGAGGGGGUGGAUGGAUUUACAAUGAAGAUUUUUAAAUGAAGGUUGAAUUUGCAACCAUUCAUCUCAAAAGGCAUGCCUAGACCACCUGAUAAAUAAUACAUUUGUAUUAUGCUUAUGAAACAUGCAGAUGGAGUCCAAUUUGCAAAUAAAUGCCUUGAGGAAUUUUUCAAAACUUCACAGGUAACCAAAUCCUAGGAUUCUCUAUAUCCAUAUUUGUGACGUUUUUAUUUUAUUUUGUGACAGUUGCCAUAAAUUCAAUUAAUCUCUAUGGCAAAUGAAAUUUUGGUGUUUUUUUUUUUUUUUUCUUGCUGAAGGAACAAAAUGAUCAAAAAGUUGGGAAGAUGGGAGGCAACAAGCACAUUUGCUAACAGGGAAAUCAAACAGCAUCACAUCAAAAUGGGAAGCAAGGACAUCUGGGCAGCCUUACCUACUAACCUUGUCCACCACCACCUCUCACCCCUCCCCUCCCCCGCCCCGCUUUCAGGACAUUCUUUCCUUGCUAUGGAAAAAAGCAGAUGCAAUUAGAAACUGCUAAGCUAAUAGCUAAAAUAAUGCUCUGACAGCAACAGAAACAGAAAGCGAAAACUCGGAAUUUGCGGGCAUGGAAAAUACUGCAAGGGAAGGACAGUUGAAUGUGUUCCAGGAUCCUAGGGCAGCCCCUGGCAGCUGCCCAGAGCACAGCAGGUCCCACUGCUCCUGUGCAAGGAAAGACCUUUUCUCUCACUGGAGCCCAGGCUGCUGGAAAGUGUCUCCUGAAACAACAGGACACAGGGAUAGCCCCACAACAACAUAGCUCACCUGCUGAAACAACCCCACUGAACUAGAUUCUGGAGCAUAGACAGGGAGAGGAGCUGCUAAGGGAGAUGUCACUGUGCAGGGAACACUCUACUUUCUGUCUCCUACAUGCUGGUGCCAAAGAAGAUGUGUGAGUCAUAAAUCAGAGGAAGGACGAUUACAAUGGCAGGAAAGAUGAAGUGAGCAGAAUGUUAUUGGAAUUGGGCCAUUUCUCCAAGCUCUAGGGCUGACGUGAUGCUAUUUGUUGCAUCAUUUAUUCACCUAAUAAAGUGUUCA